GAUGAACGCUGGCGGCGUGCUUAACACAUGCAAGUCGAACGGUGAAGCAGGAGCUUGCUCCUGUGGAUCAGUGGCGAACGGGUGAGUAACACGUGAGCAAUCUGCCCCGAACUCUGGGAUAAGCGCUGGAAACGGCGACUAAUACCGGAUACGACGCGCGACGGCAUCGUCUGCGCGUGGAAAGAACUUCGGUUCGGGAUGAGCUCGCGGCCUAUCAGCUUGUUGGUGAGGUAAUGGCUCACCAAGGCGACGACGGGUAGCCGGCCUGAGAGGGUGACCGGCCACACUGGGACUGAGACACGGCCCAGACUCCUACGGGAGGCAGCAGUGGGGAAUAUUGCACAAUGGGCGCAAGCCUGAUGCAGCAACGCCGCGUGAGGGACGACGGCCUUCGGGUUGUAAACCUCUUUUAGUAGGGAAGAAGCGAAAGUGACGGUACCUGCAGAAAAAGCACCGGCUAACUACGCGCCAGCCGCCGCCGUAAAAC
rnacentral:rRNA from 1 species